UCACCGAGCCACCCUCCCCGCCCCUCCGCCAGAUCUCCACGCGACUGAUCCAUGGAGGCGGAACCCCACGAAGGCACAGGUGCAGGCACGGGAGACUCCUCGCAGCGUGGUGGGAGGUGAUGGCGGUGGUGCGAGCUCGUUGCCCAUGGUCAAGCUUGCCGCUGGCGUGCGUAGCACAGCUGCCAGAAAAGGAUGCCCCGGAGUAGGCGUCGCGCGAGCUACAGAUGGAACUGAAGGUGGAGUGCGCGUCAACGCAGGAGGCACGGCAGCAGGCGCAGCUGCGCCCUAGCCUAGCGGCCGCGGUGACGGGCUGAUGGCGUGAGCAAGUCCUGGGUGGCGUGAGAGGCCAGCAGCAGAAGCUAGCAGGUCGCCGCCAUCACCUGCCGAAGGUCACUCUGCCAGGCCACCGCUGCCUGCUCAGGCUGCUGGAUGCUAUCAUGCUAACGCUGCACUGCUGCCUGCUGGACUUCUUUGCCCUUUGAUAGUUCAAUUCGAUAUGUCUUGUACUGCUGGAUGCCUUCAAGUUCAAUUGUACUUCUGCUACUGCAAUAGCUCCAGGAACUUGCAUAUACUUCAAAUUGUUCUGGAGAUUGAUGAUGAAUUGCAGAAUUGAUUAUUGAUUUCAGAACAAAAUGUAGAUUGAAGCUGCAGCUCUAAUUUUAGAAGAGGAAGAGGAAAUCUAGAAAAUACGUCUGAAUAAUCUUAUUCGACAGGCAAGU